rnacentral:rRNA from 1 species
UACGUAGGGUGCAAGCGUUGUCCGGAAUUAUUGGGCGUAAAGAGCUCGUAGGCGGUCUGUUGCGUCGGCUGUGAAAACCCGGGGCUCAACUCCGGGCCUGCAGCCGAUACGGGCAGACUAGAGUUCGGCAGGGGAGACUGGAAUUCCUGGUGUAGCGGUGAAAUGCGCAGAUAUCAGGAGGAACACCUAUUGCGAAGGCAGCUCGCUGGGACGUUACUGACGCUGAGGGACGAAAGCUAGGGGAGCGAAAGGG